GCGAGAGUGGCGGAAUUGGUAGACGCGCUAGAUUUAGGAUCUAGUGCCUUUUUGGCGUGGGGGUUCGAGUCCCCCCUCUCGUA
rnacentral:tRNA from 1 species